AAGGUGGACCGGUGGGGGGUUGGUUCCGACGGUUGGCGGUGGCGACUUUGGACGCCUGCUGGGCCCUCCUCGUGGAUUUCCCCAGCUACGUUCGCGCGGGUUGCCUCGGCCGGCACCUAGCAGUUGACUUAGAACUGGUGCGGACCAGGGGAAUCUGACUGUUUAAUUAAAACAAAGCAUCGCGAAGGCGCAAGGUGGGUGUUGAUGCGAUAUGAUUUCUGCCCAGUGUUCUGAAUGUCAAAGUGAAGAAAUAUGGGGCUUUCGGUCAAGCAUGAAAAUGUGAGGGUGGUUACACCAGACUCAAUG
rnacentral:ncRNA from 1 species